UUCAUGUCUCAAUGGAGCAGACAAAAUCAAGGAUAACUGGAAGAUUUGCCUUGUGAAGCAGCAACAGAAAAAUGAUCUAAAGCCAGGAAUGGAGAAGUGAAUAUCUAUCUAUCUAUCUAACUUACACAUUCUUGUCAAAGUCAUAUUUACAGUCACUUCAUAGAUUGACACACACACAAAAAAAACCAGGACCUUUACUAAAUGACAGGUGUAUAUACUUUUUUUGUCAAAACAAAUUUCCUUGCCCUGUAUUGCUAAUUUUUAAUUCAUUUAUGGUACUCAUCAGAUUGACAUUGAUUCACCCUAUCAUCCUCCUUAGUUGAGACCCCAUUUUUUUCUAUAUUUUAGUCUACUAUUUGAAUAUCUUUUCUUCUCACCAUAAAUACACAUUAACACAAAUUAACUGCUUAAUCUGCCCAUCCUUCAUUUCUACCUUUAUUUAGAGCUAUAUAUGUCCGUAAGCAUUAAAGUUGUGUUGUAUGUGCUUUUAAAUAUAUAUGUACAAUACAUAUUUAAUACACACAUUCUACUGCAACUUGCUUUUUCACUCAGCAAUUUUUAUUUACAAUCUAGUGGAAAGAGAAUGGUGAGAACAGCAGGAGGUAUUUGAGUGUUACCUUAAGGUUCAAGCUUCUCUGAGAUUGCAAACUACCUCUCCCUACAAAAAAGUCAAGAUAUUUAUGCAUCAAUACCCCUUAGCAAUGUGACUGUUGGUAAUCACAUCAAAAGGAUAUAAUUCUUCCUGGAACUUGAAUGGGAACCUCGUUGUGAAUAAAAAGAGUUAGAGAGAUUAUAUUGCCACCAUGGAAGAGGAGGAGCUGGAAGGAGAUUCUGAAGCCUUGGGACAAAGCUGGUGCUGCGGCAGUCAGAGCAGAGAGACAGAAUGAUGCCACUGAUUGCUGUGCUUUUGGAGACUGUUCUACUUCUGAAUUUCCAAUUCAGUGAAAUAAUGCCUGUCCUCAUUUAUUAGCCUUUUAGAGUUGGGUUUUCUGGUUUGCUUUGUUUAAAGUAUUCAAAAUGGCACAUACUUCUACUUAGCUUUAAUGUUUCUUCUUUUUAUUUAUCUUAGGCUCUGCUGCUGUCCUGUCCAUAAGGUUAUUUGUUGGUAAAAUAUUAAACUACAGGAAACAUAACAGCCUCAGAAAAGCAUGACUCAACAUGAGCCUGGGACAACUCAGGGUCUCUCUACUGUGCACAGCAUUUGUUCUGCUUUCAAGGCUCCCCACAGCAUCUGAAGCUUUACAUCCCUGGAGGCAACUGCCCAUAUGUUUACCUUUAUUACCAACUGCAGUUUCCAGGCAUCUGCUAAAUUACAAUUUUGAGUGCUUAAUGGUGAUUUCAUUUGUGUAAAAAAAAAGCGGGGAGACUCUUUGCCCCUCAUUAACUUAGAAUGGCAUUGCACCACACCGUAGAGCUGGCAUAUAGGUAUAUUGAAAGAAGUGGGUAGAGCUAAGAGGAUUAGAAGCUUAUGUGUGCCGUGAGGAGAAGCUGAGACUCAGGUUAGCAUCUCACUGUAUUUCUGUGAGGAGGAGAUAUUGGUGCAAGAUCUCAAGCAGACAAGCAAAAUCCAUCCCUAUCCAACAACUCCUACCUAUUGAGCAAAUGAUUUAAAAAGUGGUUACUGUGCCAUCAGAAAAACUGUUGGGGAUUGAUGUGUCUCUUUUUGUUGAACUGGCUGAGUAGAUAAGUACACAGAAUAACUUAUACCAUCACUUUAUAUUUACGCUUACCUAAUAUGAUAUUGUUA
rnacentral:lncRNA from 1 species